rnacentral:rRNA from 1 species
GAUGAACGCUAGCGGCAGGCUUAAUACAUGCAAGUCGAGGGGCAGCAGGUUUGUAGCAAUACAGAUGCUGGCGACCGGCAAACGGGUGCGGAACACGUACACAACCUUCCUUUAAGUGGGGAAUAGCCCAGAGAAAUUUGGAUUAAUACCCCGUAACAUUAUGAUGUGGCAUCACAUUAUAAUUAUAGCUCCGGCGCUUAAUGAUGGGUGUGCGGCUGAUUAGAUAGUUGGCGGGGUAACGGCCCACCAAGUCUGCGAUCAGUAACUGGUGUGAGAGCACGACCAGUCACACGGGCACUGAGACACGGGCCCGACUCCUACGGGAGGCAGCAGUGGGGAAUCUUGCGCAAUGGGCGAAAGCCUGACGCAGCGACGCCGCGUGAGGGAUGACGGCC